rnacentral:rRNA from 1 species
CGGGGGGCAGCAGUGGGGAAUAUUGGACAAUGGGGGCAACCCUGAUCCAGCAAUGCCGCGUGUGUGAAGAAGGCCUGAGGGUUGUAAAGCACUUUCAGUGGGGAGGAGGUUUGGUUGGUUAAGAGCUGAUUAAAUGGACGUUACCCACAGAAGAAGCACCGGCUAACUCCGUGCCAGCAGCCGCGGUAAUACGGGGGGUGCAAGCGUUAAUCGGAAUUACUGGGCGUAAAGGGUGCGUAGGUGGUUUAUUAAGUUAUCUGUAAAAUCCCUGGGCUUAACCUGGGCAGGUCAGAUAAGACUGGUAGACUCGAGUAUGGGAGAGGGCAGUGGAAUUUCCGGUGUAGCGGUGAAAUGCGUAGAGAUCGGAAGGAACACCAGUGGCGAAGGCGGCUGCCUGGCCUAAUACUGACACUGAGGCACGAAAGCGUGGGGAGCAAACAGGAUUAGAUACCCGAGU